AAUCCAAAAGUUUAUUUCCAACGAGUACACAGACCAUGUGGGAUGGGGAUGCGCUACACCACGACUGGCUUUCGCCUACAACCACCCCCUCCCCAAAAUCCUGCUGCUGGCAGGGUGGCAGGCCAUGGACAGACUGCCACCAGCAACUUUUGCAGACAAAAAAAGUCCUUUUUUCCAGUACUCCAGAUUUAUUUUUUUUGUUUAAAAGCCUGGGGGUAGUUGAAUGACGUUUGAGGCCAGGCUGGAAAUCCAGCAUGGGGAUGGAGGGAUGGGUGAGAUUUUUGUUGUGAGGAGGGGAAACAACCUUGGCAGGCGAUCUCUGCUUGGCUAACAAAGGCAGAUCUGUGUAAAUAGAAAUACUGGGGUGAAAUACCUGGCAGCACACCAAUGGCAACACCACAACCAACAGAAAAUCAAGCCCAGCAAGAUAAAACACCUUCAAUGAAUAGUCUGGGUUAGUUCAAAAAUCUCCCCCUCCCCGCUCCCCCAUAUUCAUGCAGGUUUAUUUUGUUGUCUAAGGUUUUAAGAAUUCGAGUUGUAAAAUAGGCAAGUCGUUAAAAAAAUUAUUACAAACCACUUUUGUGAAGGUGUUUGAGAAGGGGUGGGGUGGGAGCCCCGGGUCAGACCGGCUGCACUUCACUCUCUGUGACAAUAAAUCAGAUUAAGAAGAAAAGACAAAACUCAGGAUGGGGUUUUUACAUCUCUGCCUGGUAACACCAAGAGUGAAACCAGCUGCAGAGCAAACCACUUCAUCCACCCUUCAUCCUAAAGCUAGGGGAGCUGUAGUAAAAAGAGCAAAAUUGGGGAAUUAGGGGGGUGCUGGGACCAUCUAGGCUACUCGUGGCUUAUAAACAUUCCCAGGUGCCAAAAGUUUGGAGUCCAGUGUGAGAAGAACUGGCCUUCUCCGUAGAAGAACUAGAAAAAGAGUAUGAAAAGGUAGAAAAACCAAAAAACACUUUUUUUUUUACGGGCUAGAAAGAGUUACCAAAAAGGUACCGAAAGACUUUUCCCCUCCCGGAUCCACGGGGAUUUUCAAAAGCUCACACCUGAUUCAGAACUGGUUCAGUGGGGUCACCACCGACCCCCAAACCCCUUUGUGACCCCCAGCUCAUUCUGUACAUAAAUCCCCACGUUAUGAUUCCCAAAGGGAUGGAUCCCAAAGUGAUGAUUCCCAAAGUUUCCCAGGAGGAUAGAUGAGCAGGGGAGAGCCAGGAGGUGUUUAGCAGCAGAAAGGAGAGACAAACCACAAAAAUACGGACUGGAGGAGGAGCCCAGAAAGGUGGUGUGUGUCCCCCAAGAGCUGGGAGCAUGGGAAGGAGACCUGGGAAUAACUGCCCAGCCUGGCACGGAGCCCAGGCCGUGUGUAAACAGGGAAUCAGGCACCUCCGGGAUGGGGCGGCCCCACGGCUCCCGGGGCUGCUCCCCUGGCCCUUCCCAACGUGGGGAGGGGGCAGCGGGAACGGGAGGGAGAGGGGCAGGAAGGGGCAGGAACAUCCCAACAGAGAGCAGAAUCCCAUGGUGGGACAGAAUCCCACAGAGGAGCAGCAUCCCACCAUGGAGCAGCAUCCCAUUUUGGAGUAGCGUCCCACCAUGGGGCUGUGUCCCACCAUGGAGCAACAUUCCAUGGAAGAGCAGCAUUCCAUGGAGGAGCAGCAUCCCAUGGAGGAGCAGCAUUCCAUGGAGGAGCAGCAUUCCAUGGAGAAGCAGUGUCCCACCAUGGAGCUGUGUCCUACCAUGGAGCACAUUCCAUGGAGGAGCAGGAUCCCAUGGAAGAGCAGCAUCCCACCAUGGAGCUGUGUCCCACCAUGGAGCAGCAUUCCAU
ensembl:lncRNA